rnacentral:rRNA from 1 species
UACGUAGGGUGCUAGCGUUAUCCGGAUUUACUGGGCGUAAAGGGUGCGUAGGUGGUCUUUCAAGUCGGUGGUUAAAGGCUACGGCUCAACCGUAUUAAGCCGCCGAAACUGGCAGACUUGAGUGAAGAAGAGGAAAGUGGAAUUCUUAGUGUAGCGGUGAAAUGCGUAGAUAUUGAAAAGAACACCAGUAGCGAAGGCGGCUUUCUGCAAUGUAAUUGACACUGAGGCACGAAAGCGUGGGUAGCAAACAGG